rnacentral:rRNA from 1 species
CCUACGGGAGGCAGCAGUGAGGAAUAUUGGUCAAUGGACGCGAGUCUGAACCAGCCAUGCCGCGUGCAGGAUGACGGCUCUAUGAGUUGUAAACUGCUUUUGUACGAGGGUAAACCCCGAUACGUGUAUCGGGUUGAAAGUAUCGUGCGAAUAAGGAUCGGCUAACUCCGUGCCAGCAGCCGCGGUAAUACGGAGGAUCCGAGCGUUAUCCGGGUUUAUUGGGUUUAAAGGGUGCGUUGGCGGUUUGAUAAGGUAGAGGUGAAAUGUCGGGGCUCAACCCCGAAACUGCCUCUAAUACUGUCGGACUAGAGAAUAGUUGCGGUAGGCGGAAUGUAUGGUGUAGCGGUGAAAUGCUUAGAGAUCAUACAGAACACCGAUUGCGAAGGCAGCUUACCAAACUACAUCUGACGUUGAGGCACGAAAGCGUGGGUAGCAAACAGGAUUAGAUACCCCUGUAGUC